CAGUCGCCGCGGUAAUACGAACCGUCCGAACGUUAUUCGGAAUUACUGGGCUUAAAGCGCGUGUAGGCGGCCCGGUAAGUCCGGUGCUGAAAUCCCCCGGCUUAACCGGGGAAGUGGCACGGAUACGACCGGGCUGGAGGGAGGUAGGGGGGUCUGGAACUUCCGGUGGAGCGGUGAAAUGCGUUGAGAUCGGAAGGAACGCCCGUGGCGAAAGCGAGGCCCUGGACCUUUUCUGACGCUGAGACGCGAAAGCCAGGGGAGCGAACGGGAUUAGAUACCCCAGUAGUCCCUGUCUCUUAUA
rnacentral:rRNA from 1 species